rnacentral:rRNA from 1 species
UACGGAGGGUGCAAGCGUUAAUCGGAAUUACUGGGCGUAAAGCGUGCGUAGACGGUUACUUAAGUCAGAUGUGAAAGCCCCGGGCUCAACCUGGGAAUUGCAUUUGAGACUGUGUAGCUAGGGUGCGGAAGAGGGAAGCGGAAUUUCCGGUGUAGCGGUGAAAUGCGUAGAUAUCGGAAGGAACACCAGUGGCGAAAGCGGCUUCCUGGUCCAGCACCGACGUUCAGGCACGAAAGCGUGGGGAGCAAACAGG